rnacentral:rRNA from 1 species
CCUGACGACCAUAGCAAGGUGGCACCACUCCUUCCCAUCCCGAACAGGACAGUGAAACGCCUUUGCGCCGAUGAUAGUGGAUGGACAUCUGUGAAAGUAGGUCAUCGUCAGGC